rnacentral:tRNA from 1 species
UUUUCUAUGGUGUAAACAGCACAUUAGUUUUUCACACUAAAGGCGAGCAGGUGCUCUAGGGGCU